AGGCCAAGGAGGGAGGAUCACCUGAGGUCAGGAGUUCGAGACCAGCCUGGCCAACAUGGCGCUGAGACGUGUCUGGAGAGCCAGAGGACCUGGCUGAAGGAAUCGCCUGAGCCUGUCCAUCCACCAGGGUUGGGGAGAUGCUCCCAUCCAGGCCUGGAGGACCUGCUGCUCCCUGCUGCUCCUGGGGACGGAGCAAGGGCAAGGCAGCGGGAGGCUGGGAGCCCUGCCCUGCCCAUCCCUCCCGCACCAGCGCUGUCCCUGCAGACUUUGGUUCGGUGCCCCAGCCAAGAUGAGGAAGGGGCCCGGUGAAGACAGGCCUGGGGGCUGCCCCAGCAGGCUCUGGGUGUGACCUGCCUCUGGCCCGGGUCCUGGGUGGGGCCUGUGGCUGGAGUAGUGCCCCCAGGCCCUGCCCUGGGUGACCAGACGGGGAGGAAACCUGACUGGACCUGGGCAGGCAGGAUGUGUUGGCCGCAGAGAGGCGGACCAGCACCCGGUAGGACCUCCUAGGACUGGGCCUUCUUCCAGGGGGCCCCUGGCAGGCAGUUGGGGUGUUGGGCAGAAUGUGACUGGUGGCCUCACCAUGGACUUGAAUGGGACUUGGCUGGCCUCAGGAUCUUGUGCCUGGAAAUAGCCUGAGGUGGCUCAGGAGGCAGAGAAAGGGCGCCAGACCAUUCUCUGGCGGGGACCAGGGCCCAAGGCCCCGGGCUGGAAGGAGACCAAGGGGCAGCCGCCCUGGAGGACAUCAGGGCUUCCUCUUCCACCCAGUUCCCGUGUGGUUCCAUGUUUUCCCACCAGCCUGUCGGCAAAGUUGCUGCCCCAGCAUUCGGUACCUGCUUCUUCCAGAGAAAUAAAGUUAGUUUCUAUUUUAUGUUA